CUAGUUCUGACCCAUAGCCUGAAGUGCAUGUGGGAAUUAUGAAAGGUGACUCAAUGUGCUCACUCACCAGGAGAAACUCACCCCUGAUCUGCUAUGGGGAUUGUACUAAAGUUUCCAGGUUUUAGAAUCAAAGUAGCCUUGGCUGGGCAUGCUGAUGCCUGCCUGUAAUCCAGCUCAGGGGUCCAAGAUUUGUCCUAGGCUAAGUAGCAAUCUUAAGACUAGCCUGGGCUCCAUGCGAGGGUCUCAGCACAAGGUGAAAUAGCAUGGAGUAUGGAGACACUCAAGGGAUGCCGUAGUGAAUCUCACAGUGCUGUGGAAUCCAGAAAGAGACAGGAGUCUAACAUUACUGUCAUCAGAGAGGCUUCACCCAGGAACUGAUGGAAAUUGAUGCAGAGACCCAGAGCCAACCAGACUGACAGCCUAGAAGAAACACAUCCUACUAGUGCUGCACCGCAGAGGGUAUGAGUCCCGCCUCCAGGAAAGCAGGCAGGAGGAUGCGCUGCCCAGGACACACUGCAUUCGAAGAAUCUUAAUGAAGCUCAGCUCCAUUCCUCACAUUUGUAUUUGUAUCACCUCGAACACAGUCACUAGAAAGGAGGUGA